UGUUAAUGGUGGGAGAUUGAGAAAUGGAAAAUCUUCUCAGGUGUAUGAAAUGACUUUGCAGAAUGGUGGGAGAUACGAAAUUGGAUCUUAGUCUUCAGUUUUAGGGAAACAAAUCUCUGUUCAAGUAAGUUUUGGGUGAUGGAUCAAUGAUUGGUAUUAUAAAUGAUUUGAGCAUACGUUACAGCGUGGUAUUCAAAGACAGAAGUUGCAGGAAUUUGUUCAAGGGCUGCCAAGGGAGAGGAGAAGAGGAAGGAAGUAGUUGCAGAGGAAUCAGAUGGAGAAGAAUACGGUGGUUUAUACAUGUCAUGUCAUGAAAGAGUUCCAUAUAGUGUGUUAUUCCACAAACUGCAAAUGACUUUCGUGCUAAUUUUUAGUUAGUAGUCAUAUGAAUCGUUUAGAACAAAAAAAGAAGUGGGAGUCAAUAAUGAAAUCAUAAAGGCAAAUCGCUUUUGAUGUCUUAUUAGUCUUGAAAUACUAUGUUUAGACAAUAGUGUUUGAUGUGAUUAUGAACUCUUUAAACACCAAUUACACCAAAUUCACUUUGUUUCUUUUA